GUGCUUGCUUCUGUAGGACUUAACGAUAAAACUGAACAAUACAGAGAUGAUUAGUAUGGCCCUGCACAAAGAGGACAUGCAAACUUGUGAAGUGUUUCAUAUUUUU